AUAAAGCAUGCUGAGGUCGUAUCAGGUCAUUUCAAGCUCUUCUGUGUCUAGAGGAAGAGCUACCCCGUGACCGGCUUAGAGAACUGGAAGAGGCCGCAACCUUUCUCCUGCUUGAAGCUGGAGGAUGGAUGGAGUCUGGAGCCCUGGAGCGUGGGACACUGUUUCGCUGUGGUUGGUGGUGGCGACAGAGCAGUAGGAGAGCGCCCGGCAGCGGGAGCUUCUCCUGCUGGGCUGGAGGACUAGGAGAAGGAAGAGGCACUGCCACAUGCUGGAGGCUGGAGCCUGUGCCACCGUGGCUGGCCUGGCUCUGGUUGGUUCGCCUCGCUGUGGUUGGUGGUGACGUCGGAGACUGCAGCUCGGCCACAGUGGUAGAAAUGUGAUGGGUCAUCAAGAGUUCAUAUAACUAGACCUGUCUUGGAGCAAUUUUUAUCUUUUGCAAAAUACCUUGAUGGUUUAUCUCAUGGAGCACCUUUGCUGAAGCAGCUUUGUGAUCAUAUUUUGUUUAUUAACCCAGCCAUCUGGAUACAUACACCUGCAAAGGUUCAACUUUCCCUAUAUACAUAUUUGUCUGCUGAAUUUAUUGGAACUGCUACCAUCUACACCACCAUACGCAGAAUAGGAACAGUUAUUAAAGAUAAUGCACACCUUAAAAUAUUACUACUGGGUUAUUAAUCCUGCUGACAGUAGUGGCAUUACACCUAAAGGAUUAGGUGCCCAUUCCCAGGUCCAAUCGGUGCAGUCUGGGGCUGAGGUGAGGAAACCUGGGUCCUCAGUGAAGGUGAUCCCAGAUACACCUUCACCUUCCACUACAUACACUGGGGGCGACAGGCCCCUGGAAAAGGGCUUGAGUGGAUGGAACGUGUUGAUCCUGAAGAUGGUGAAACAAUAUAUGCACAGAAUUCCAGGGCAGAGUCACCACGACCUGGGACACGUCUACAGACACAGCCUACAUGGAGCUGAGCAGCCUGAGAUCUGAGGACACAGCCGUAUAUUAAUGUGCAAGACACGCAGUGUGAAAACCCACAUCCUGAGAGUGUCAGAAACCUUGAGGAAGGAGGCAGCUGUGCUGGGGGUGAGAAGAUGACAGGAUUUAUGAGGUUUAAACGUGUUUAGAAAAUGGGUUAAGUAAUUGAGGAAAAGAAGCAAUAGAAAGAUGUAUACACUCUAAUUAUAUAGGAAAUAGUCUUUUCAACUUUCACCCUGUAAGUAAAAUUCACAGAGUGGGAAAGGCAGCAAUCAAUCAGGCUGAUGCAAACACUCCCAUGGAAGCCUUGUGGGGACAUAACAUUUUAAAAUCGAAUGGAUAAAUCAUUUGGAGCAGGAUUGCUUUAUCACGUGGUAAGACUAAACAUAAUUUCUAAGAAGUGGCCAACAUUUCUUCCAAAAUGUCUUUGCCACUUUUUUUACAUUACAUUUAUUUUAAAACACUUUUAGGAUCACAGCAAAUUUGAGUAGAAGAAACAGAGUUCCCAUGUAUUCCUGCCCAAGAUACGCACAGACUUCUCCAUGAUCAAUACCCUGCACUGAAGUAAUAACUUGCAGCUGACAAACCCGCAUGGACACAUUAAUUGUUUCCUUUUCUGGCGUCCCCUAGUAUAACAAGCCUAAACUAUCUUGAAACACCCCGGGUUCCUCAAGCGGAUUACUGGGAAUGAUGCCAGGUAGAGGGAAAGUGGGUGGGGACGUUCCUCUUUGCACUCUUUCCUCAAGAAUCCAUAAAAUGUACAUUGAUUUGGAGCUCAUCUGACUUGUUUUUCUAUGCCCCUUCCCAGAGGGUAAGGUCUCCAAGCAUUUACAGCAGAGGUCCCCAACCCCUAGGCAGUGAACCAGAACUGGUCAGCAGCCUGUUAGAAACCAGGCAGCACAGCAGGUGAGCGGCGGGUGAGCAUCACUGCCUGAGCUCCGCCUCUUGUCAGAUCAGCUGUGCACUAGAUUCUCCUAGGAUCCAAAUUCUAUUGUGAACUGGGCAUGCAAAGGACCUAGUUUGAGUGCUCCCUAUGAGAAUCUAAUGCUUGAUGAAUGCAGGUGGAGUAAGUUCAUCCCAUAAUCACUCACCGCCAUCAUCCAUGGAAAAAUUGUCUGCCACGAAACCGUUCCCUGGUGCCAAAAAUGUUGGGGACCACUGGUGUAGAGGAAGGUCUGUGCCUGUGAAAGGCCAGCAGCUUCUGGUGAAUCCCAUAAUCAAUGUCCUUUAAUGAGAAGUGAAGACUUUGGCCAUGAGGGCUUUCAUGAAUAAUGCCCUUCAGUUCAAUUCAAAACACUAUAAGCUCUUGGGGGGUGUUUCUGGAUAAAGGCCUUUGUGAAGAAAAUACAAACACAUGCAUGGGAUCCAGGCAGGAAAAAAGCUUCCCUUAGAAAGUGGUUUGGUACCUGGAAGGAGCUCUCAGGGUUGGGCACUGGACCCCUUGCUGGCUGCACUUUAGCCAGAGGCCUGAGCCUGAUUGAUCUUGCAGCGAGAGAGCCUCACUGGGGUCACAGGUUACCAAAAUGCCUGUCAUCUUCCAGCUGAGCAAGCCCAUCUGCAUGCUUGUCACUGUCAACCCCAUGAGGGGUGCACUCUGGAAGAUGACAAGAUGCACACAAACCUCCUCCCCCCACUUAUCCACUACCACACAAUCGAAACCAAUUUAUAUUCCAGAAAGGGACAGGUGCCUGCAGGGAUAAACAGAAUGGAAGUAUUAUCUUACCUGGGAAAGACACUGCCAAAUACCACAUGUUUCAGGAAGAUCAACUCAUAAGUGUUCAGGAAGUGACUGAAGGGCAACGGUGGGUGAAGUGACGUGGCAGCCUCAGGGCUGCAUGUGAGGAGGGCUCCCUCCCCCAUGCAGGCUUUGCCUCCAGGAGCUGCACCAGGAACUCACAGAGGAUCAGGAAUUAUUCUGAGAACAUACUUCUGAGUGCUGCCUACAGGGAGAAAAUAAAUUAUAAAAAAUAAAUCAAUUCUAAACAAAAUAUGACAUUUGUUAUUAGAAACUAUUUCUGGAACCUGUGGGAAACAAACCAACCCUGUGGCUGACAGCAACCACCGGCAGCCACCAUCCCCUCCACAGCCCUGUGUUUGGAACAUCACCUGAGUGAUUGUAUUAGGAACUUUCUUUCAGAAUCAUCUUAAAAACUUAUGUGUCCCAUUUCACAUGGAGAGGUCAUCUAUCCAUUUUGUCUUCAUAGAGAAAUAGAAGGAGGUGAAUACCAAGUACACUUCAUAUCUCCGGAUUAUUCAAAUCUAAUUGCCCCUUUAUCACCUUCUGAUUUCUGGUCUACACAGAACAAUCUGCAAAUUUUUCUCACUGGUGUUAUACUAAAACUUGUGAAGGGCCAGAUACUGGAAUAAUUUCAACUUACAUUAUUAUUCUAAUAAUUCUAAGAAUUUAGAAUUAAGAUUAUCCUCUUUUCAUAGAUGGACAAACUAACCUAGAUAUUUGAAAAUAAACCCUUAACUGAGACUGAAAAGAUCAGCCAUAGAUUUGGAGAAUUUGCUUGCAAAUCCAAUAUUUGGAAAAGGGCUUUUAUCACAAAUAUAUAAAUUGACUUAUAAUUGAACAACAACAAAACCACAAAAUUUAUUUUUAAAAUGGGCAAAGACCUGAAGAGAAACCACAUCUAAAAGUAAAGAUAAAAAGUGAUCAGUUUGAUUUUUAUUAGGUAAAUGUACAUUUAAUAUUCAAAAAAUACUGCUAACCUGCUAAAAUGGGUAAAAUAAACAAUAUAGACAAUACCAAAUGGUGAAGAGAAAGCUGAAAAUCAGGAACUUUCACUUACUGCUGUUGGGAAUGCUAAAAUGGUACAUAGACAACUACAGUUAAUAAUUUAUUGUAUAUUUGAAAAUAGCUAGAAGAGAAAAUUUAGAAUGUCCUUAACACAAAGAAAUAAUCAAUGAUUGAGAUGAAGGAUAUCCCGGUUAUCCAGGUUUGAUCACUGCACAUAUUAUUUUAUCAAAAUAUCACAUGUACCACAUAAAGGUUUUGAACUGUUAUGUAUCUGUAUAAAUUCAACAUUUAAAAAUCAAAUGCAGGGGAAUCCAGCUAAUUGCAGAUUCCCAUUAGAUGGGAUGCUCUAUGUAAUCUGUAAACUAAUCAGAAUCUGUGGGUUUGUAAAAGGACUUUAGAAAUCAACUAGAUUACUUGUUUCUAAAGAUAAGUCUUGCAAGUUUAAUUAUUUUCCUAAUGGGGGGCAAUUUUGAACACAGAAGAAAUGUUAACAUUUGUUUCUUGUAACUUUUCUUCUAGUAUCAGGAGAGAAGGUUUGCAGGGAGGAAUCUGGGACCAUCUUUCAUGUCUCAACUUUAAAGUGAUUACCUCAAUGAAUAUUUUCUGAUACCCCUGAUUAGGAUAAGUCUCAUAUAUGUCCUAUAAACUAAAAACAGAAUUCUAAGCAACCCAACUGGCUGAAUGGACCCUUCCUCUUCAAAAAGGAGUUCCAGAGAUACUUGAAAAGCUAGUUUAGGCCAUGUUAGCAAGAAAGGAUCAGAAAUGCCUCAUUAUGCACUCCUGCCUUUGGAAUUCAAGCACAACUAACCAGCAUUUUCAUUCAAACAGAUCUUAAGGCUCAGAAAAUAGAUUCUUUGUAGCAGUAAGAUACCAAAUUCUAACCUGACUCAAGAAUAGCAUCACAUGACAGCAGGCCUUGAGAGGAAUCAAAGUCUUUUGCCCUAAAGUAUAUUUUUGACAUAUUUUAAAUUGCCCUGCACAGUUAUAUUUUGUGAGAGAAAUUUACAUUCUGUAGAGAAUCGCUUUACCUUUCCAGGUGUUUUUGUUAUAUGGAGGAGAUUAACUGAGAGUCUAGCAUCUUUUAAAGGUCUUAAUAGAAAACACUUGCCAUCUAUUGCCUCUAAGGGUGGCCACAUAAGAGACUUCAUCUGCAUAAUAAGAAUAUUGUUCUCCAAAGCCCGCUCUCUAAAUCUAGAAACUUUUUCAACUGAUUUCAGGUCUUUAGAUAAAACCUUAAGUCUUUUAAUCAAUUGCCAAUAAGAAAAACUUUGAAUCCACCUGUAAGCUGUAAUCCCCUCCCCACACUGCCUCACUUCUUGCUGUUUUGUCUUUAUAGACCAAAUCAACACAUAUCUCACAUGUAUUGAUUGAUGUCAAAUGUCUCUCUAAGACAUUAGAUAUAAGAGCAAUCAAACCACUUUGGGCACAUGUUCUCAAGGUCUUCUAAGGUGUGUCACAGGGCAUGGUCCUCACAUUUGGCUCAGAAUAAAUCUCUCUAAAUAUUUUGCAAAGUUACCUUUUUUUAAUUAUACUUUAAGUGAUGGGAUACAUGUGCAGAACGUGCAGGUUUGUUACAUAGCUAUACAUAUGCCAUGGUGGUUUGCUGCACCCAUCAACCCGUCAUCUAUAUUAGGUGUUUCUCCUAAUGUUAUUCCUCCCCUAGCCCCUCACCCCCCAACAGGCCCUGUUGUGUGAUGUUCCCCUCCCUGUGUCCAUGUGUUCUCAUUGUUCAACUCUCCCUCAUGAGGGAGAACAUGCAGUGUUUGGUUUUCUGUUCCUGUGUUAGUUUGCUGAGGAUGAUGGUUUCCAGAUUCAUCCAUGUCCUUGCAAAGAACAUGAACUCAUUCUUUUUUAUGGCUGCAUAGUAUUCCGUAAUGUAUAUGUGACAUAUUUUCUUUAUCCGGUCUAUCACUGAUGGGCAUUCGGGUUGGUUCCAAGUCUUUGCUAUUGUCAACGGUGCUGCAAUAAACAUACACGUGCAUG